rnacentral:rRNA from 1 species
GGCGGCGGGCCUAACACAUGCAAGUCGAACGCACUCGACCUUCGGGUCACAUGAGUGAGUGGCGAACGGGUGAGUAACACGUGAGGAACCUGCCCCGAAGACUGGAAUAACCCGAGGAAACUCGGGCUAAUACCGGAUAUCCCCACCAGGUCGCAUGGCCAGGUGAGGAAAUGCUCCGGCGCUUCGGGAGGGUCUCGCGGCCUAUCAGCUAGUUGGUGAGGUAACGGCUCACCAAGGCAUCGACGGGUAGCUGGUCUGAGAGGACGAUCAGCCACACUGGGACUGAGACACGGCCCAGACUCCUACGGGAGGCAGCAGUGGGGAAUCUUGCGCAAUGGGCGAAAGCCUGACGCAGCCACGCCGCGUGAGGGAUGAAGGCUUUCGGGUUGUAAACCUCUUUCAGCAGGGACGAAAAUGACGGUACCUGCAGAAGAAGCUCCGGCCAACUACGUGCCAGCAGCCGCGGUAACACGUAGGGAGCAAGCGUUGUCCGGAUUUAUUGGGCGUAAAGAGCUCGUAGGCGGUUCAGUCAGUCGGGUGUGAAAACUUGAGGCUCAACCUCAAGAGGCCACUCGAUACUGCUGUGACUAGAGUCCGGUAGAGGAGUGUGGAAUUCCUGGUGUAGCGGUGAAAUGCGCAGAUAUCAGGAGGAACACCGACAGCGAAGGCAGCACUCUGGGCCGGUACUGACGCUGAGGAGCGAAAGCAUGGGGAGCAAACAGGAUUAGAUACCCUGGUAGUCCAUGCCGUAAACGUUGGGCACUAGGUGUGGGGUCUCGCUAACAGAUUCCGUGCCGCAGCUAACGCAUUAAGUGCCCCGCCUGGGGAGUACGGCCGCAAGGNUAAAA